rnacentral:lncRNA from 1 species
UUUCCUGAGCCGCUCCCCCAACUACCCACCUCCCUUAACAAUCAAAAUCCAAGAUCUGCACAUGAACAUCAAAGAUUCAAGAUCUGAACAUGGAAUAAUCAAUAUACGAACAUCAAAGGUCAAGAUCUGAACAUCGAAGAUCUUAAAAUACGAACAUUGAAGGUUUAUUUCCAACUUUCCAUUCGUUUUUUGUUCAACGAAGAUGAUCUGUUCAUUUUAUAUGUACAUGGCCACUGAAGAAUAUAAAAGCUUUUGUUUUAUAAAGUGGUCGUUUAAUAUGAUAACUUCAUGAAGAUUGGAAGGAUGGGCUGGAAUCGGAUGAAUUGGAAUAUGAAGAUUAUUGGCUAUUUUGAGAUAAUGUUGAAUAUUAUCUGUUAUUUUGGAAAGAUGGAUUACGUUGGUUUGUUUUUUUAACAUUUGGAAUUUUGUUUGGUAUUUGGUUUGUUGGAAAAAAGACAUUUUUGUUUUGAAAUUUAUUUUUUUAGAAUUAUGGAUAUCCGAUUAACUAUCCGAAUCCGUAUCCGAAAUUUCGGAUAUCCGAAUUUUCGGAUAUCCGGUUUUAAACACCCCUACUUGUAUAUAUAGGGUAUGUUUGGCAUGAAGCUUUUAGGAGCUUUUAGGAGCUUCAAGCUUUAAGCUUUUAAGAAAAAGCUCCUACUUAAUAAAAAGUCUUGUUUGGUUGAAGGAGCUUUAAGCUUUUAGGUUAGGAGCUUGAAGCUUUUGGUUGAACGCUACUACUAGUAGCGUUUAGAAGGAGCUACAAGCUUUUAGAGAAAAAUGGCUAUUUUAACCUCUCAAAAUAAGAAACUUUUUAAUGCACCAACUUUCUAAAUUUUUAGUUAUGUCUAUUUUGGUAAUUUUAUACAUUUUAUUAAAAGCUCCAGCUACUCUACCAAACACCAAAUAUAUCUAAAAAGCUACAGCUACUAGCUACCAGCUACAGCUACCAGCUUCCAGCCACCAGCUACCAGCUUCCAGCUUUCAGCUACCAGCCACCAGCUACUUUUGCCAAACAUACCCAUAGUUGAAUGUGUAGCUUGAAAGACACGGAAAAUUUA